CUCGUUGGAGGUGUUACCAAUCUUGUGAGUGGAGCAUCAAGCAGCACCGUGGCAAGCCGAGACCUUCCAGUAUCUACAGACAAUCAGGUCACAGAUUUAUGCAAAACCCUAUUUUCUUAAAACCCUUUAAAAGAAAAAUUAAGUUUAUUGUCUCUUAUACCAAAAGAUUGUAAUUCUCAUCAUGUUUUAACAAUUGAAUAUAUGCGUUUUGCAGCCUCUGCUAGCGUCUGGCGAAAAAACACCGUGGUGGAAGAAUUGUUGUGGAGUUCUUGAUUUUUUCAAGAAAGAUACUUAAGAUAAAAAGAUCCAAAAAUGACAAAUUAACGAGUUUCACAAGAUGAAGAAACAGAGCACUAGAAGAAGAAAGAACCCCCAUCCUUUUGAUUAUUUAUUUCCUUCCUUUUGAUUUUGAUUUUGAUUUGAGAUUGUGUCUAUCUGUUUUUGUUUGUUUUAUGUUUUGUUGAUAUCUUGAUUGUUUCCCAAGAACUUGUGUAAGAACCCAAAAAAAAAAGACAAAUAAAAAGGUAAAUUUCUUUGUGAUGAGUGUUGGAUUCUAAGACCAUCUUUAUUGGUGGUCUCUUAACACAACUCUUAAGUUAAGAGAUAUGUCUUAUAACUAACAAAAGUCUCUUAAAGUCUCUUAGCUAAGAGACUUUUGUUAGUUAUAAGACAUAUCUCUUAGCUUAAGAGUUGUCCUAAGAGACCAUUGAUAAUGUUGCUCAAUGAGCUUCAAAAGCUAAUCACAACAAGUUUCUCUAGUCUAAAACGAAACAAGACUUCGUAAAAAAAAAACUUAAGCUCCUGUUUCAUGAAGACCUACCUCAAAUUCUGAUCUUCUUCUCUGACUCUUUCAACGCCUCUUCCACCAUACUCAUCUUUUUCUCCAAUUGAUGCUCCACUGUGGGAGAAGUUGUCAAUCUACUAUUUACUAUUUCGCCAAUUAUGAAAGGUUUUUUU
rnacentral:lncRNA from 1 species